rnacentral:misc_RNA from 1 species
UGAGACUUAGCUGUAAUCUUUUUUAAGGUCGAGGUACUUCCCCAAUCGUGCUGCUCCAAUUUUGGACCUGUGCAAUUUAUUUCCAGUUUUUGGGAUUAUUUAUUAUUUUGACAAUGAUGGGACCAUGGGUUCAAUGGGAUAAAUAAUAUUUGUAUGGACCAAACAAAUCUUUGACAAGUCCACAGGCGUUUUUGAUUGACCCCCGUUUUCGGAACCCGUUCUAAAUGUUAUGUAUUUUUCCAGUUUAUCAUGGUAAGCUGUGUGCUAGAAAGUAUUGUCUGCGAAUGGUCAUGGAUGAAGCCCUGGCGUUCCGUGCUUUUGAUCACGAUUGCGUAUUUAUUAAUAGAAUACGUAGAUGAAGAUAUUGGUGACCUUGGUUUCGUGUAUUCUACGGCGGUGUCGACGUUUACAGAGACAAUUAUAAUAUUCUGGUUGUAUCCGCUUGGU